GGGACUAAUAGGUAUGACCAUAACUAUGGUAUAAUUGAAUAGAUUGAAGGUAGAUUUAUAAGAAUGAAUAAAUAUGAAAUUGUUGUGGAAUGCUGUAUGAAUGGAUGAUGGUUUGAUUAUGUGAUAUGUUGACAUUCAAAGUCAAGGAUUAAUUAUGAUUGAAAGUAUUUGAGUAACUAAAUAUGCUAUGUUGCAUACUGUCAAAAAUGUAUAAUUGAGUGAGCUUUUAAGGGUGGCAAGUCGCUUGGAAAGUAGGCUAACUGUUGUCCACACGGGUAUGUGUGUAGGCCGUGUGUGACACAUGGUCUGCCCCAUUUGCGUGAGA
rnacentral:lncRNA from 1 species